rfam:Populus trichocarpa scaffold_16_contig_109, whole genome shotgun sequence.
UCUAGAACUCGAGAUAUGGGUUGAACACUGAACAGUGUCUGGGCUGCAGGACAGAUUCAGACUUCUAUUUUGAUGCUAAGAUUUGGACUUCCAAACGGCAGAAUUGAGUCUUGGACUCUACAUGAAUGUUUUAGGCCUAUGUCUUAGCUUUCUAGC